GCGCGUUUAGCUCAGCGGGAGAGCGCUUCCCUGACACGGAAGAGGUCACUAGUUCAAUCCUAGUAUCGCGCACCA
rnacentral:tRNA from 2 species